ACAGCAGCCGCCGCGGUAAAACGUAGGGUGCGAGCGUUAAUCGGAUUUACUGGGCGUAAAGCGCACGUAGGCGGAUCGUUAAGUCGGGGGUGAAAUCCUGGAGCUCAACUCCAGAACUGCCUUCGAUACUGGCGAUCUUGAGUCCGGAAGAGGUGAGUGGAACUCCUAGUGUAGAGGUGGAAUUCGUAGAUAUUAGGAAGAACACCAGUGGCGAAGGCGGCUCACUGGUCCGGUACUGACGCUGAGGUGCGAAAGCGUGGGGAGCAAACAGGAUUAGAUACCCCAGUAGUCCCUGUCUCUUAUAC
rnacentral:rRNA from 1 species